rnacentral:tRNA from 1 species
AGGAUUAUAGUUAAUAAUAACGAUCGGGUUGCAUUCGAAAAGUAUUGAUAAAUUCAAUUAAUC